rnacentral:lncRNA from 1 species
CCCAACUUAUACAUGGCACUCCAAGGGGAUGCUUCAGCCAGAAAGUAAAGGGCUGAAAGAGUAGAACAAUAAAAAGCCCUAGUGUGGUGGGAACUGUGGCUUCACUCUUACUUGUUCUUCCAUUCAAAACAGUUUGGCACCUUUCCAUGACCAGGAUCUCUACAGGACUCUGCCUGAGAUAGUUUGAGAAAUUUUAUACAUUCCUCCAAAGAAAAAAAAUACAGAAAAGCUAUUUCAAAACCAAAAUCUCCUUAUUUUCCUGGAAUAGAAUGAGGAGAAAACAACUAUUUUUGAGCCAUUAAUGUCUGACAGUUCCAGAAUGCAACAAUUAAAAAUUGUUACCAACUUGUGACAAUUCCAUUAUAUACAUGGCUAAAAAGUUUUCCUGGGAGAGUGUACAAAAUAUGUUACCAAACCUAUCAAAAGCCAUGCAAUAAAAAAUGACUGAAUAAUAAUAAAGAAAAA